CGAGGACGGCUCCCGCAGCCAGCGCGACCACGACUAUCGCGACAUGGACUAUCGCGGAUACGGGGGACCCCCAGAGGGACCCCCCGCUGCCGGGACCCCCCCUCAGGCCUCCUACGAGACCUCGGAGCCCCCCCGGAAACGGGAGCAGCCCCGGGAGCCUCCGCGGGACCCCCCGGCGCUGCCGUUCGGCGCCGACGGCGAUUACCGGGACCAGGAUUACCGGGAGGGCGCCGAGGAGGAGCCCAGGGCCAGCACCAUUGUCAUGCUGCGCAUGCUGCCCCAGGCGGCCACCGAGAACGACGUGAGCCACGCCCUCUCUGGCCACGCCCCNAGCGCCGCCAUCUUGUCCCGGCGCUCCGCCUCUCCUCUUCCGCUCAACCCGGCCAAUCGCGACCUCGCACCGCCGCUUUAG
rnacentral:lncRNA from 1 species